UACGUAGGGUGCAAGCGUUAAUCGGAAUUACUGGGCGUAAGCGUGACGCAGGCGGUUAUAUAAGACAGUUGUGAAAUCCCCGGGCUCAACCCUGGGAACUGCAUCUGUGACUGUAUAGCUAGAGUACGGUAGAGGGGGAUGGAAUUCCGCGUGUAGCAGUGAAAUGCGUAGAUAUGCGGAGGAACACCGGUGGCGAAGGCAAUCCCCUGGACCUGUACUGACGCUCAUGCACGAAAGCGUGGGGAGCAAACAGG
rnacentral:rRNA from 1 species